rnacentral:rRNA from 1 species
CCUACGGGAGGCAGCAGUGGGGAAUAUUGCACAAUGGGGGGAACCCUGAUGCAGCGACGCCGCGUGAGUGAAGAAGUAUUUCGGUAUGUAAAGCUCUAUCAGCAGGGAAGAAGAUGACGGUACCUGACUAAGAAGCCCCGGCUAACUACGUGCCAGCAGCCGCGGUAAUACGUAGGGGGCAAGCGUUAUCCGGAUUUACUGGGUGUAAAGGGAGCGUAGACGGCAGGGCAAGUCUGGAGUGAAAGCCCGGGGCUCAACCCCGGGACUGCUUUGGAAACUGCCAUGCUGGAGUGCUGGAGAGGUAAGCGGAAUUCCUAGUGUAGCGGUGAAAUGCGUAGAUAUUAGGAGGAACACCAGUGGCGAAGGCGGCUUACUGGACAGUAACUGACGUUGAGGCUCGAAAGCGUGGGGAGCAAACAGGAUUAGAUACCCUGGUAG